GAGUUCCAAGAGAAGGGAUCAUAAUUUAUGGGUGUGGAAAAGCUAUUAAUGCUUUAAAAUGUGAUAAUAAAUUGAAAUACGCAUGCUAAUUAUAUAACAUAACUUAGUGUAGAAAAGAAAUGUGAGGGUCCCAAACAGGGCGACCUCCAAAAGAAAUUGAAUUGCAAUUGAUAUGAAGCAGAUUCAUAGAUUAGGGACCUCUUACAUCCUGC
rnacentral:misc_RNA from 1 species